UUCAUUUUAGAAUGUUAUCUUGGUAUGUUUAAAAGGAAAAACUUAAGAUGUGUUGCAAUUGCAGUAUGAGUUUCAGGUAUGUACAUGUUAUGUGUGUGUGUGAGAGACACACACAAACACAUUUCAAAUAUGUUUUAUGUUUAAGCUCAAUAUUCAAACACAGAAAUAUAACAUCUAUUCUUAAUAUGUUUUAUGUAAGUACAGCAGCAGCAUUAUUAAAUACUGUAUUUCUAUGGUGAUUGAAAAUUAGUAGGCAGAGAAUUUUUGUAAUGGUUCUUAAUAAUUUUUGUAAUAGUAAAUGAUUACUUUUUGUUUAGUAUAGUUUUAUAAUCUAUACAUGAAUAAAGUGGAUAUUUCUAUUCAUAUAGAAAUGUGAUUUACUCUCAUGUACUUAUCUACAUGCUAAAACCAUAAGUUAUCAAUUUUAGUUCUGUGCCAAGGCACUUUUACUGAAUAAAAAUAAUCAGCUAAUUUUAUAUUUUCCUGA
rnacentral:lncRNA from 1 species